rnacentral:misc_RNA from 1 species
GCCGAAGGAACAGGUUCUUCGUUAACAAAAUUGAAGGAAAUUACAUAUUCGUGACCAACACGGCAACACAAUUAACCAACAUCUCCUGAAGUGCAGAACCCAGUCCUGACUUGGAAGCUUGUACGGCUUAAUCUCUCAGAUUUCUGAUUUCUUCCUUCUCUAUAGGUUCGCUUAGCUGAACAGAAUAAUUCCCUCCUCUCCAAGAAUCUACCAUUAUUCAAAUUUUCCCUUGUUUCGUUUUAUUCCUUACUUGAUUUUCACAGGCUUCAAACAUUCUCUCUCUUUCUCUCUCUCUUUAGAAGAGUUGGUGCUUAGAGAAACGCAUGAGAGAUAAAAGAAUUAAUGGAGAAAUGAAGAGGAGGGAAGAGAGAGAGAGUGCCUUUUUCUUAUGGCGUUGAGAAAUGAUUCUGAUGAAUAUAAGGGAGAAAGCUUAC